ensembl:lncRNA
ACACAGCAUCUGAAGUUAAGCCGACAUGAGCGCUGACGUCAUGUUUGCGCUGAGAUUGAAACUAAAACUUUUGAAGAAACCAGAGGCUCACAGGAGACGCUGUGAAGAGGACUGAAACAAACAUGAUGAGCUGCUGCCAUCUGCUGGAAACACACCUUCACUCGCCUGCAACCUUACAAAGUGAAAGGAACUUAAAGCUUCUGUUCAGAGCACGAGUCAGGAACGAUCUUACACAUGCUGCUAUUAUUCAAGAGGGGGCUAAAGUCAUCUGUAAAGCUUCUAGCCUGAAUCCAGUGCAUUUCUGCUGAGAGCCUCAUUGCUUCUGCAUGCUUUUCUUUACCGUCACGCAGUAAUGUCCAGAACACAACAGCAAAAGUUUGAACAUUUAUCACCAAUUGCCUGCAGAGAAUGAGAGCAAUAAUCAGCUCUGCCACUGCACACAGAUGUUUGUACCUCAGUUUCAGGAAGGACUUUAAUGACGAGACUGCAGUGCAAAGAAACCUCAACAGAAGCUGUUUUCUGUUACAGAACACUGUUUCUCUGAAACACGCCUGACAAUGAAUUCAAACGAGCCCACUGGAUGUUUAAGAAGUCAAGGUACAGAAUCACCAAGUAUGUUUGCAUAUACAAGGAAUUUAUUCUGGUGACAGAAGCUUCCAGUACACAGAGACAACAACAACACACAGAUUUGUUUAGACUUUAAAUAUGCUGUUUGUUAAUAAAGAUAAUAUCUAUUUUAAAAUUAGUUUCGAG